AUGGCAGCGCCGCCGUCCCACCCGUUCGUCUACAUCGACGCCGAGGCGCUCCACGCCGUCCUCCCCUUCCCGUCCCUGAUCUCCCACCUCCGCGCGGGCCUCCCCGCCUUCUCCGGGGACAUCCACUGCCCGCACCGCGUCUCCUUCCCGGUCCCGACCUCGCCCUCCGCGGCGCUGCUCCUCAUGCCCUCAUGGUGCGCCCACCCGUCGCUCCCCUACCUCGCCCUCAAGGCCGUCACCUCCUUCCCCGCCAACUCCCCGCACCGCCCCUCCAUCCACGCCACCGUCUCCCUCUUUAGCUCCGCCUCCGGCGUUCCCCUCGCAUUCGUCGACGGCUCCGCGCUCACCCUCCUCCGCACCGCCGCGGUCUCCGCCCUCGCCGCCUCCCUCCUUGUCUCCCCCUCCCGGCCUCCCUCCACCCUUGCGCUCGCGGGUGCCGGGGCCCUCGCGCCCUACCUCGCCGAAGCGCACCUGUCCGCCCUCCCCUCACUCUCCCGCAUCUUGGUAUGGAACCGCACCAAGGCCAAAUCCGCCGCGCUCGUCGCCAAGCUCCGGGACGCGCACCCGGGAGUGGCCGUCGAGGAGGUCGACGGCAUGGACGAGGCGGUGUCCGCGGCGGACAUCGUGAGCUGCGCGACGGGGUCGCAGGAGCCGAUCGUGCGGGGGGAGCUGCUGAAGCCCGGGGCGCACCUGGACUUGGUGGGGUCGUUCACGCCGGCGAUGCGGGAGUGCGACGACGAGGCGCUCCGUCGGGGCAGGGUGUUCAUCGACUUCGAGGCGGCGUUGGAGGAGGCCGGGGAGCUUGUGGGCGCGCUGCAGCGCGGCGUGCUGCGGAGGGACGAUGUGGCCGGGACGCUCGCGGAGCUGGCCGCCGGGACCGUGGCCGGGCGGCGCAGCGACGAUGAGAUCACCGUGUUCAAGUCCGUUGGCACGGCCGUCGUCGACCUCUUGGCGGCACAGUUGGCCUACGAGAACUACACUGCAGCCAAGAACGCGUGA
rnacentral:rRNA from 1 species